GGGGAUGUGACUCGGUGGUAGAGAGUUUGCUUAUCAGGUAUGAGGCUCUGGGUUCAAUUCCCAGUACCCCA
rnacentral:tRNA from 1 species